rnacentral:rRNA from 1 species
GUAGUGACCUGCGGAGGAUCAUUACAUUCAGUAGCUUGCUACUGGUCGGGAGGCGCUGUAACUCCGCAUAGUAUUUGUUUACUGAUGAGCGGCAAGCCCUCUGUCUGUACCCUUGUCUUUUGCGCACUCAUGUUUCCUCGGCGGGCUUGCCCGCCGAUUGGACAAAACUAUAACCUUUUUAAUUUUCAAUCAGCGUCUGAAAAAACUUAAUAAUUACAACUUUCAACAACGGAUCUCUUGGUUCUGGCAUCGAUGAAGAACGCAGCGAAAUGCGAUAAGUAGUGUGAAUUGCAGAAUUCAGUGAAUCAUCGAAUCUUUGAACGCACAUUGCGCCCCUUGGUAUUCCAUGGGGCAUGCCUGUUCGAGCGUCAUUUGUACCCUCAAGCUCUGCUUGGUGUUGGGUGUUUGUCCUCUCCUCUGCGUUUGGACUCGCCUUAAAGCAAUUGGCAGCCAGUGUUUUGGUAUUGAAGCGCAGCACAUUUUGCGAUUCUGGCCGAUAAUACUUGCGUCCAUAAGCCUUUUUCAACUUUGACCUCGGAUCAGGUAGGGAUACCCGCUGAACUUAAGCAUAUCAAUAAGCCGGAGGAC